AGAUGGAUAUUAACACAUCCUUUAAACACACAGGCCUGGUCCCCGCCUUAAAAUCACCUCUCUCUUGACUUACACAUGCAAGUCUCCGCAUUCCCGUGAAAACGCCCCCACCCUCCACCUAGGAGUAAGGAGCUGAUAUCAGGUGACUAACCCAAGACAUCUAGCUAUGCCACACCCACAAGGGUCCUCAGCAGUGAUCAACAUUAAAAAUGAACGUCAGUUCGACUUAGCCAAUGAGAAUAGAGCCGGCCAAUCUGGUGCCAGCCGCCGCGGUUACACCACGAGACUCAAAUUGAUUUUAAUACGGCGUAAAGGGUGAUUAAAGACACAAAAUAUUGGGGUUAAAUUCAAACUAAGCUGUAAUAAGCUUGUUCUUAAGAAAACCUAUUCGAAAGAUACCCCAACCUACCCACUUGAAUUCACGACAACUAGGGCACAAACUGGGAUUAGAUACCCCACUAUGCCUAGUCACAAACUUUAACUUACAUCUCAUCGCCAGGGAACUACGAGCUAAGCUUAAAACCCAAAGGACUUGACGGUACCCCACAUCCCCCUAGAGGAGCCUGUCCUAUAACCGAUACCCCCCGUUUAACCUCACCACUUUUAGUUUUCAGCCUGUAUACUUCCGUCGCCAGCUUACCGCGUGAGCGAAUAAGUAAGCUUAAUGUCCACAUCAAUACGUC
rnacentral:rRNA from 1 species